rnacentral:tRNA from 1 species
CCCUGCUUGUUUAGACGGUAAAGAAUCUGCCUGCAAUGCAGAAAACCCAGGUUCGAUCCCUGGGUCAGGAA